rnacentral:rRNA from 1 species
AUCGAUAACCCNNGUUAANUUUCACUUCAAUUCAAAAUUUAUAUACCGCCAUCUUAAAAAUCAAUUCAAAAAUAUUUCUUCAAACAAUAUAUAAUAAGUUAGGUCAAGGUGUAAUCAACAUUAAAGAAAAAGAUAAAUUACAUUAAACAUUAUUCAAAAAAUAUAAACCAAAACAAAUAUUAAUAAGAAUUUAAAAGCAAUAUUAAAAAUAUUAAUUUAAUAUGAAUUAGACAAUAAAUGUGCACACAUCGCCC